rnacentral:rRNA from 1 species
AGUGAACGCUGGCGGUAGGCCUAACACAUGCAAGUCGAACGGCAGCACAGUAAGAGCUUGCUCUUACGGGUGGCGAGUGGCGGACGGGUGAGGAAUACAUCGGAAUCUACUUUUUCGUGGGGGAUAACGUAGGGAAACUUACGCUAAUACCGCAUACGACCUACGGGUGAAAGCAGGGGAUCUUCGGCCCUUGCGCGAUUGAAUGAGCCGAUGUCGGAUUAGCUAGUUGGCGGGGUAAAGGCCCACCAAGGCGACGAUCCGUAGCUGGUCUGAGAGGAUGAACAGCCACACUGGAACUGAGACACGGUCCAGACUCCUACGGGAGGCAGCAGUGGGGAAUAUUGGACAAUGGGCGAAAGCCUGAUCCAGCCAUACCGCGUGGGUGAAGAAGGCCUUCGGGUUGUAAAGCCCUUUUGUUGGGAAAGAAAAGCAGCAGGUUAAUACCCCGCUGUUCUGACGGUACCCAAAGAAUAAGCACCGGCUAACUUCGUG